rnacentral:rRNA from 1 species
GAUGAACGCUGGCGGCGUGCCUAAUACAUGCAAGUCGAGCGAACAGACGAGGAGCUUGCUCCUCUGACGUUAGCGGCGGACGGGUGAGUAACACGUGGAUAACCUACCUAUAAGACUGGGAUAACUUCGGGAAACCGGAGCUAAUACCGGAUAAUAUAUUGAACCGCAUGGUUCAAUAGUGAAAGACGGUUUUGCUGUCACUUAUAGAUGGAUCCGCGCCGCAUUAGCUAGUUGGUAAGGUAACGGCUUACCAAGGCAACGAUGCGUAGCCGAACUGAGAGGUGGAUCGGCCACACUGGAACUGAGACACGGUCCAGACUCCUACGGGAGGCAGCAGUAGGGAAUCUUCCGCAAUGGGCGAAAGCCUGACGGAGCAACGCCGCGUGAGUGAUGAAGGUCUUCGGAUCGUAAAACUCUGUUAUUAGGGAAGAACAAAUGUGUAAGUAACUAUGCACGUCUUGACGGUACCUAAUCAGAAAGCCACGGCUAACUACGUG